CUGAAACGAACAAAACCAUAUAUUUAAGAGUUACCUUAGGCCCGUUUGUUCCCUAGAAUUGAAACUUAUUCCAUGAAUCUUAUUCUAGCUAUUAGAUUCCAUAGGAAAUGGAUUACGUAGAAUUUGAUUCAAUUGUUUGGAUGUACCUAGAAAGUUUUUCUUAGAAUUAAAUUCCAAAUACUGUUUGGAUGCAUUACCGUGAACAGCAGCAACAGCCUCUGCAG
rnacentral:lncRNA from 1 species